UUGCUCCUCCUGGGGCCGUCGUUCUUUUACAAAGAGGGGUGGAGGUUGUUGUUCCUUUUUUUUUUUUUUUUUCCUUUUUCUUUGUAAUGAAUGGAGGGCGGCGGCGACUGCAGCAGCUGGCUUAGCUGCGUGGGUUGUACCCUCCUCCCAGCCUGCGAGAGGAGGGCCUUCUCAGGGUCACCUGAGAACACAGCUGGUUUCUGGAGUAUUCUUCUCCAUGUCCAGGAUUUCCUCUGUGCUUCAGGGAAAGGGAGACGCCUGCCUCUGGGACAGCAUACAGAACAGGUUCAGGAAGAGACAGCCCAGGGACCCUUCUCUUCUAUUUUGAGGUUGAGCACAUCACCCUUUCGAACGGGUCCUUUGACAUUUCAGAUGAAAGAACGGCUGGUGUCAUUCAUAGAUUCCACUCCCACCUGCGCGCACUGUCCUUGCGAACCGGUCCUGCCCAGCACUUUGGUUACCCUAGCCAGCUUGAUGGUCUGCACACGCACAACUCGUGUCCAUGAUGGCGGCGAUCUGUUGGAGAGCCAAUCUUAGUAUUUCAGAGGCAGAGACAGACAAAUCUCUUGUGAGUUGGAGGCCAGCCUGGUCUAUGUAUUGAGUUCCAGGUCAGCCAGGGCUACAUAGUGAGACCUUGUAUCAAACAAACAAACAGAUGGGACUUUUGCAUUGUUUUGCUUUUUUGAGUCAAGGUCUCUGUGUAGCCCAAGCCGGGCUUUAAGAUGCCCUGUUGCUGCCCCAGCCUCUGGAGUGCUGAGAUGACAGGUGCAGACUGCCAUACCUGUCCAGUGCUGUGCCCAUAGGGUGGCAUGGCACUUUUGGCAUGUGGGUUACUCAGUUAUGUUAAUCAGGACACAGAAACAGUAUGUCCGUAACUGAGACUAUACGCCCCGGUUGACUGUUUAAUUAAUUGACUGCUUAAUGUCUAAGGUGGAAAUCCCAACUCCAUUGUGUGACUUUGGAUGUGUCAGCAAGAUAGCGCCAAGGUCAUAGAGAAAAGGUCUGUCUUGACCCAGAGCACACUGGGGACUGCCUGUAUUCUAUUCAGAGCCAAAGGUGAAGAUGGCCCAUCUGUCUCUCCUGUCAAGGGGAGUUUAACCAGCACUGGCUGAGUUAUCCUUUGGCCAGGGUUAUGGAGAGAGGUUCCUGGGUAUUGCUUCUGGAAUUGGUUCUGAUCAUCCCUUCCAGAGAGUCUGUACCUUUCCCCACCUCCCCAGCCUGAGUCCCUGAGCUGCUGUGAGGUUAGGAGUCAGCGGAAAGAUCAAAGGUGAAUGAUUUUUGCGCCAUAAAGUAGCCUGGAAAACAAGUUUGGGAGAUGAAUGACUUUGAGUCUGUGGGGCUUAGCUGGGCACUUCUGAGAAUUAUUGACAUUCCUGCUUGGGAGUUCUAGAGGCCUGCACCACUCAGAGGCCUUCCCCCAUAUCUCCCCUCUAUUCCAAGGGGACCACAGAUUAUGGGAUGGUCACCCUGUGUCUCAGGACCCUGGAGAUGAAGCCAGAGUGAGCCUUGUCCCUAUAUGAUAGGCUGUGAUCCCAGGGCCUGAGCAGGUGUAACUUGCAAAGCAGGGAAGAGAUUGCAGUGUGGUUUCCCACGCCUCUGUCCUGGUUCUCCUUUGCCUGGCAGAUGAGCUCUGCACCAGCAUCCACGGUGGCUCAUUUUGUGUUGACUGUGCCUGUACAGGCCGGCUUGGGUCUGCAAUGCCUCCCUUUUUUCAUGAGGCCUCUAGUGGGACCGGCUGCAGGUGUUCGAGUCUGCCCUGUCCUUUAAAGACAUAAGUAGGGUGUGCCAGCCUCUGCCUUCAGCACCACCGCUCCACUCCACCUCAUGCCCCCACCCCACCAGCCCUGGGAUAAUGUUUAUAUACAAAUUCUGGCUUUGAUUUCCACCCAGGAAAACACCAGCUGCUAUUGGAAAUCUUUUUGCUUCUGAUAGAAAGCAGGACAGCCGGGCUUCCUGCGGGCCUACUCGGGCUUCUCUCGAGGGUGUUAGGAAACAGCAAGUGUGCUUUAUUUAUAUUUUUCAAAGUCAUCCCAGAACCGUGUCCAGGCAACUGAAGGUCUGUCAAAGAGCCGAAAAGCCUAAUUCUGUUUAGAAGAGACAAAGGGAUUAGGUGUCCCUGGGACUUUAACCAGAGCAUUGGUGGUGGUUUUGAUUUAGGUUUCGUUUAGGGAAGGCAAGUGCAGAAAGGAUGCCAAAGAUCUGGGCUGCCAGUGUUGUGGAGAUGUUAAGAAACCGGGACACAAUGAGGUGCUGGCAGGGAUAUGAAUUAGUGUAGCCUUUUGGGGGAAAUGUUGGCAACGUGUUUCGUAACAAAUGAGUGUGACCUUAGAUGCAGUAAUUCACACACUGGAGACAGUCUUACUGCAAUAGCUACACAUAUAUGCAAGGACCUGUGUUCAGAAGUUCUCACUGCAAGGCUGGAGCUGUAGGUCAGUGGUAGGGUGCUUGCUUGCUUUGCAAGUUCAAGGCCUUGGGUUCAAGCCUUAGUACUGGAAAAAUAGUACUCAUUGAAGUAAAAAUAAAUAAAUAAAUAAAUAAAUAAUCAUCCUCAAAGAAUCAAUAAAAAUAUUAUAUUGGAAAAGAAAAUAUUCACUUGAGUCUAUUAGAGACAGGUUCAAUAGGUUAUGGUUUAUCCAAGCAUUGUAUAGGAAUUAAAGGAAAAAAAAGUAAAAACAAUGAACAAUAUACAGAUGGUACUUGGUGACCCUCCUAUUCCCAGGGCUAUCAUUUAGGGUAUUAGCUCACUUAUAAUAUUAACUGAGCCUUCACAAUAGUACUUUGGUUUCUGUUAUUAGAACUUUUUUUUUUUUGUCUUAUGGGGAAAGGGUUGUUAUGUAACUUGGCUAAGGCUCCAUCACUGCUGAGUACAGAACUCGGCUCAAACUCUCUGCCUCAGAGACACUGACCACCAUACAAUGCCUGUACAGACAUACUUUUGAUUUACCGUGAAGUGAAAGAUGCAGGCAGCAGAAAUAUAGGGCAUGAUCUUAUAUAUGUAAAAAUGAAACCGUAGACAUGUAUGUUUAUCUGGAAAAAGGAGCAGUCUGGAAGAACAUAUACAUUGGUUUAACUAUUCUUUGUAGAAAGGAAAGCAAAGUAAGCUAUUUUAAGAAGUUGCUUUUUUUGUUUUUUUGUUUUUUAGCUAGACAUUUAUACUUUUGCAGUCAUAGCCCCCCUCCCCCCAAAAAUACACACACACAGACUUUACAAGUGUAUGGAAUUAAGUCCAGGGCCUCAUGCAUGGUUGUUGUGUAACAAAAGUUCUCUGGGGAGAUGCAACACACAGGUCUCACCCCUGAUAAGAAUUCCAGGACAGAACGGUACCAUUAAAUCCAGUUUGUGAACCCAGUGAGUUUUAUUGGGGUAACUUACAUGAAUGUGAGCUAGGGGUUACUUACAGGAGCAGAAAUGACUCAAGACAGCUACAUCACCAAAGCCCCCUGAAGUAUAGGUGACAGCUCACAAAACUGGGAACCUGGAACUCACAGCACAGCCUGCUGGCAGCUCAAAGGCUUGAGGGAGUGUCCUGCCGAGGUGCCUGUGUUUGUCUAAACCUCUGCAGGCAGCUGCUCUGGUCUGUCUUCUUUGCCCUUUGUUGCUUGGCUUUGUUGGAUCUAAGGGUGACUCUCAGCUUUUAUUGAUUAUUCUGCCAGGAAGGAACCUAUUGAAUCUGUUCAGUUUCGGGAACUUCCUGAAAGUAUUCGAGUUGUUUUCCUUUCCUUCGUAAGGAGCCUCCCUUUAAAAUGGAAAGUUUCAAUUUUGGAGAAAACUGUUAUGCAACAUUUCAUAUAUACGUUUAUGCCUCCAGCUCUCUUGAACAAGUCUUUUUUAAAGAAGAAACAAACAUACAAAUAAACUCAAAUAACC
rnacentral:lncRNA from 1 species